rnacentral:snoRNA from 1 species
ACCCAUCAGCUUCAUUUUCUAUCAGAUACAAACACUGGUAUGAAUGGUUAAAAAGGGAGGAAAAGUAAACUUUAAACUGACUUCAAUGCUUUUGUGACACACAAGCUCGUUUCCAACAAAC